rnacentral:rRNA from 1 species
AUACGGAGGGUGCAAGCGUUAUUCGGAAUCACUGGGCGUAAAGGACGCGUAGGCGGUUUGAUAAGUCUGAUGUGAAAUCCUAUGGCUCAACCAUAGAACUGCAUUGGAAACUGUCAGACUAGAAUACUGAAGGGGCAGAUGGAAUUAGUGGUGUAGGGGUAAAAUCCGUAGAUAUCACUAGGAAUACCGAAAGCGAAAGCGAUCUGCUGGGAAGUUAUUGACGCUGAGGCACGAAAGCGUGGGGAGCAAACGGGAUUAGAAACCCUUGUAGUCC